rnacentral:rRNA from 1 species
UACGAAGGGGGCUAGCGUUGCUCGGAAUCACUGGGCGUAAAGCGUACGUAGGCGGCUUUCUAAGUCAGGGGGUGAAAUCCUGGAGCUCAACUCCAGAACUGCCUUUGAUACUGGAGAGCUCGAGUCCGGAAGAGGUGAGUGGAACUCCGAGUGUAGAGGUGAAAUUCGUAGAUAUUCGGAAGAACACCAGUGGCGAAGGCGGCUCACUGGUCCGGUACUGACGCUGAUGUGCGAAAGCGUGGGGAGCAAACAGG